AGAGUGUUAGUUGCUACUGUGAAGAUACAAAGUGCAAAACAGGAAAGAUCGCGUUCGGUUACAAAGAGCAGGAGGUGGGCUGCAGCCAGUAACUGCAGCUCUCGCUUCGUUACUCUCUUUUUAUUCUUUGCUUUUUAUUCUGUGAGUGUUUUAAUGCCCUUAAGGUAGGUGCAGCUAACGCUAGCUCUCUUUAGCAGCUAACUAUAUCAAGUGAAACACCGGUUCUGCCUCCAGAAAUGCAGAGAAACCUAAAUGCAGCUCUGGAGAGGGAACAGAGAUAUAAACCAAAGAUACCCUUUAUGAUUAUAGGAAAUAUCCGCUUUCUCCCCCAAUAGAAUGGAAGAGCUCCAAGUGCUGACUCAGCUGCUGCAACAGGAUUACUUACAGCCUGAUGAUUUUUACGAGGACGUGGAUGAACAAGCUCAUAGCAGACUCAGAGGUUUGUCUGGAAGGAUUUAAACUCACACGAACUGACAGGAGAGCAGAGCAAUUCGGUAUGCAGGAAAGACAAAAAUAGACCUCCGCUGAGGACACAAGUGAAAUAUAAGGACAGAGGAGUCAAAGGAGAUGAGAGGUUGCUGAAAAGGAGAGAUCACUGGAGUUGCCUGCAGGCUACAAAGAAAUGAACUGAAUAAGGCACGGGGAGAGGAAAACAGGAACACAGGCAGCCACAGAGACUCCAGUUCACAAAACCCUACUGCUUUCAUUUUGGACAUUUUCUCAUUCUAAAUAAGCUUUGUUCCCAAAUAAGUCUUCAAACUAUUUUUUAGCUUAACUGCAAUUACAAACAUCUUAGAUCACAUUUUUAACUCCCUGGGGAGGUGUUUUGGGCAUGCCCUGCUAGUAGGAGGCCCCAGGUCAACCCAGGACACGCUGAAGGGAUUAGAGCUCCACGUUGGCAAGGGAACGCCGUGGUAUCCCAAUGAAGAGCUGGUGGAGUUUGCUGGGUGGUUUGGUCCUCUCUUCUGGGGCUGCUACCCCCACAACCCGGACACUGAUAAGAACAGGAAAACGGACCACUGGAGAUAACAUUUUCUAUCUGCAGUAGACAUCAGUCAGAGUGGUCGUAGUUUCUAGGAAGGAUUUGAGUAUUAAAGCUAGACUGCACUCAGAAAACAUUCUAUAAAAAAGUGAUUUUCUGCCAAAAACUCAAGAAUUAUACAGCUUUUCUUAUCAGGAUUAGUUACCCUGACUGGAUUCAAUUAAACACAAUUACUUAGUUUCACUGUUAAAACACUAAACAUGCUGCACUGGACUGCCAUUGUUCUGAUUACUGUCCAAUGCAGGUAAGACGCCAACUACUCAUAUCUAUCACACAACCCCACAUCAACACACUGCUCCUUAUGCAUUGUAAUCUGAAAGAAUGAAUGAAACACUUGCAUAAUAACAGCAAGGCGCUUCAUUCACCCAUUCACACACACAUUCACAUGCUGGUGGGGAUGAACUACAUUGUAGCCACAGCUGCAGGCGAGGCUUGCUGAACACUGACGCCACCGGCUCCUUCAAGGAGGGUUAAGUGUCUUUUGCAAGGACACAACAGCAGCAUUGUCUGGUCAGAGCCGGGAUCGAACCUGCAACCCCCUGAUCACCGGACGACCCACUCUACCUCCAUAGCUACUGCUGCCAGUUGUAGCGUCAUGAAUGGCCUCUAAUUUGUGACAAAGGUCACAUUUUCCCAGCUGGGUCAAGCUGGGUCGAACUGUAACUUUGCCCCACAGAUUACCCGCCAGGAGCCGUGAUGUCUGCUGAAACACCAUCUUUAUCUGCUGCUGUUCCGUCCCAAGAUGAAGGACACUUCAAGAUUUCACAAUAAUAAUUCUACAUAAUAAUUUUAAUAAACUCUGACUUUAUUACUGUUUAUUACAAUCAUCAAAUAAUCAUCUUAUUUCAGUAUAAAUGUAUUUUAAUUACUGAAAUGACUUAUUAUGCUUUGGGUAAUAAUAAUAAUUAUUAUGAUAAUCAGUAAUGUGUGUUCAGUAAACCAGAAGGUCAUCUUGUAUGGCGCGGUAUAGGGGCAAAAAUUAAGACUACUGCCCAGCAGCAGGAGGCUACAUAAAUUCUGAAGCAAACUACCGACCUGAUUAAUGAUAAGCUGGCGCCGGUAACUGAGAGGAUGGCGCUGCUUACUGAGGAAUAGCACCUUUACCGGCGUUAUUACUAGAUACGCUAGGGACUAGCAGCCCUCGGCUGGUCAUUGACUGGUUCAAACACUCCCUCUGCUGUCUAUUAGCAUGGAUAGGCUAGCGUUAGCCUGGAUGGGCUGGUGUUAGCAUUGGAGAGGCUAGCCAUUAGCCUGCCUAGGCAUGCCACUAGCUGGAUUUCCUACCCCCUUGACAGACCAUUAGCAUGGAUAGACUGGCAUUAGGAUCGGAGAGGCUAGCCAUUAGCAUGACUCGGAGAGUAAUUAGUCAGCUAGUGGCCAGCCUAGGCACGCUAAUGGCUAACCUCUCCGAUGCUAAUGCCAGCCUAUCCAUGCUAAUGGUCCGUUUAAGGGUAAAGUUUAACCACCUCACAUGUCUUUACUUCAUGACAAUGAGCUUUCUGACGCUGAGAGGGCGUGUUCUGAGGUUUUGUUAAAACUAAAUCUCCCACAGCUGAAAGCCAGUUCUUGAACCAAGCAGAUACUCUCGUGGCGACGAGAGUCAUCACAGAGGACGAGGGUCGGCCGCCCGAAGCCUCACUAAGCUAUUCUGUCAUGCUGAUAGAAUUGCUCCGAAUAAACGUCUGUAACCAGCUGACACAAAACUCCUUCAGAGUUAUUGAUUUUGAGACGCAACUAGUUUCAUCAGUUGUGUGACCCACGGAGACAUCUCAGGACCGAUUUGGUCACACUAAGGUCCUUCUACCAACCUCGUGCCCGGAGAACAUCAUCUCCACCUGACAUCUCGGAUCCAGAAGAGGGUCUCCUGGACUGGGUGAGGUAGACAGUUUCGACAGAUGGCGUCUGUAUGCGGUUAUCUCUAAGAACAACUCAGUUAGCUGCAAAACCAACUUCACCACCCAGAACACGCUUCUCUCUCUGAAAGAAACCUUCUGAGAUUUAUUCACGCAUCUAAAACCUCGCAUUUCAUUUUAGUUUCCAUUCAG